GGUUCCGUAGCUCAGCUGGUUAGAGCGCUGCACUGUCACUGCAGAGGUCGCGGGUUCGAAUCCCGUCGGGACCGCCA
rnacentral:tRNA from 1 species